rnacentral:tRNA from 1 species
CGGAUGUAGCCNAGUGGAUCAAGGCGGG